UUUUUCUAGAAAAGUCUAUACAACUAUUAGCUUUAAUUCUAAUUUUGUCCUAUUUAAAAGAAAAUUUACAAUAAAUAGUAUUUAAAUGAAUGGGUUGCAAGAACAGAUCUAACUAAAAAAAUGGGUUGCAAUUUUGCCUUUGUACUAUGUUGUAUCCUCUUGGUUUCAUGCCCAUCUACAAGUUUAUCAAAAACCUCUGACAUGGCUCGAGCCUUACUAGUCGAGAAGAAACCCGACGCAUCGGUCCAUAAGAAUGGCGGAAAUGUGUAUGGUACAGAUGGGUUAACAUAUGGUGGGUUUAAACGACCGCCUGUAAAUGACGGCCGUCAUUACUAAGAUUAUGCUCUCCUUGAUGAUUAUGGCAAGCCACGCAGAUUAUUUGUAACAAUGUCACUUAAUUAACGUAUUCAUAGACAUUAAUUUGUCACUUUGUAAACACUAUAUAUAUAUAUAUAUGCUGCUUCAGUACUUUUGAAAUUUAAUAAAGUUAUAUCUACGAUAGAUAUAUGACGCAUUUUCUUUUA